GACUCCAGUUCUGGUUCACAGCAAGUAAUGGGCUGGUUGGUUGGUUCACUCUCCUGUACCUGUAAGAUGAGGAGCUGUCACUACCACAGGAAGAGUAGCAGAAGGUCUCUGGUGACAAGGCCUUUCUCUACACAUGAAUGCAUCAUUUCAGCAACCCUGAUAGCUGCCUGCCUGUUUCCAGAUGCAGCUUCACGUUACCUUUUCCUUUCCCAGUGUUAGGUGAUGUGGCUUUUGGCUGUAUGAUAUCCUUAGAAAUCUGGAGCAGCACAUUGGUGAUUCUGGUACUAACAGGACUCAAGAGUUCAGCCUACUGAGGGAGGCAGUGCUGGAGGUAUUCCUUGUGUGCGUGUAUUGAUGGGGUCCCAUGCUCUGGAACCACCUCUCUCUGCAUCCAAGAGAGCUGGUUUGUGCAGGCCUACAGAGAUCAGAGAAGUGCCUUGCCUUUAGUCAGCUGUUUGCUCAGGAAGGGAUGUGUUGUUGCUAGGGGAUGUAAUUUCCUUCCAGCUCAGAGAAAGAUGAAGGUAUAUAUAUUUUUAGGUACUUAUAAUAUGUGCACCUUAUCUUUAUAGGAGGAUUUAUUGUGUAAAUCAAUGACAAAAUAAACGGUAACAGUUCCAGUGACAAAAUAAAUGGUAACAGCUCCUGCACAAACAGGGCAAGGGAAAGGUUCAGUCUCCAAUGCAGUUUUCCUGCUUAACCAAUUAUUAAAGCUACUGACACACCAAA